AGCGUCGGGGCGCGGUCCACCCGGGAGACCCUCGGCCGCGUGGGGGGACCAGGGCGGCUCGAGCUCGGAGGGUCCUCCGGCCUUCUCCACGCCCGCCCUCCCCGCAGUCCCCGCAGCUGCCUCCGCGGUGACAACCUGGCCCGGGCUCCUGCCAUCCUGGUGCAGGGCUCCUGCUCCCAGCACCGGGGAGACCCUGAUGGCAGCUACAUCCCCUCCCUGCUCGUCCGGGCUCUACUCCACAUCGCGCAGGGUGCUUGCUGCCAGCGAGGAUGUGCGCAGUUCCUAACACUCUGGCCUUCACAGAUGUCCUGAACUCCUACCCGACGGGGUCCCAGAGGGUCCUGAAACUGAGAUAAGGAACUUAACCCACCCUUCUUGGAGACUCCAGCAGGAAAAAGCAGGGGGUUGCACCACCACACAGAUAGGCCAGGCCUCCAGUGGGUACAGCAGGCCAGCCUGGGCCAUGCGUGACCAGGCCAUGAGUGACCGGACCAGGCGUGACCCUGCGAUGCUUCUGGGGCUUUGUCCCACUUCAGUGCAGAGGCAGGAGCUGCUCUCUCUGCCUUGGAGAGUCCUAGGAGAGUCCCAGCGCAAGAGUGUGGCUUCAGACUGAAAUGCUGAUCAGGACUUCGGAGCCCUAACAGGAAACCUGGGAACCCUGCUCCCCUUCCCCAGGCAGCCCCAACUCAGAAAUUUUCAGCUCCACAGCAGCUAUGUGGAGGUGCUGCCUUAAAGAAAACGAUCAUGAGACCCCAGCACAAGGAGGUGCCAGUAGCUCUACAGCGACAACUCUUCUCCUCAGUCGUUUUGGAGCCUGAGAGCUAACAGAGCAUAGGCAAGGAUACCAGUCUAACACCACCGCCGGGACGCUGGGUGUUCCGUGGCUGAUUGAUUCGCUGUUGCUUGUUUUCUGUCUUCCACUAGAAUAUUAGCUCCACGCAGAGAGCCCCCUCCUUUGCCGAGUCCAACGCUACAGAGCAGUGCAUGCUACCCAGCAGGUGCUCAGAAAAUGAACAGUGCCAGAAUGCGUUUACCUUGUUGAGGCUGUAUGCAAAUAAGAAUGUGGAGCAUCAUGAAGGCCAAAAGUCAGGACAUGGUGGGCAAUGCUAGGAAAUGCUUCAGAGAAUCUUGGGUGAGAACUGGGAUCUGGGCAUGGUACCACACACUAUAAUCAUCUCAGCAACCUGGGAGGCUGAGGCAGGAGGAUCCCAACCA